GAGGGAGAAACUUUCAGACUUUAUUCAAAAGAAACACCCAGAAAAAAUUGCAACUGGGCGUGCGAUGGAGCUAUUUAAUGACACUUGCCUGACUCAUUUCAGAAAUAUUCUGAAAGGGAGGAUGGAACAGAUCUCAUUGGACAGGUUUUUAUCGAAAACUCCUGUAGAUGAAAGUGAUGAAAGCGUGGUGAAAAGGGCAAAAGUCAGCAAAUAAGAUUCAGUUGUUCAGUUCAGCCUUUCUCCUCCAACUCCAUCAGCAUCUUUAAGUCGUUUGAUCUCCAAGGUAAAUGCUGUACAUUAAACUUAAUAAAACAAGUUUAUUGCACUACA